AUGCUAAAAGCUUUCUGCACCCAUCUUCACUUGUUCAGACAACCAGAGUUUCAGUCACUUCUGCAAACUAAGGUCUUUCUAUGGCUUUUUCUACGCAGAAGUAUUACAAGUUCAACCAAGGGUAACCUACUCUUUACUAAAAAAAGGGUAACAUACUAUAUUGGGUUGGAAACUAGGAGAGAGACAUCAAGUGUUGCUUUUGUCCAAGCAACGAAUUAUCUGAUCAACUCCUUUGUCGAUGCCUAUUGGCAUAAUAUACAUGGUGAUGUCGUGCUUCUUGGUGUGCCUUUUGGCUUUGCUUUAACUCCUACAUAUCCUGAUCAUCUUCGGGAAGGCUGGAAAUAUCAUUCUCCACCCUCUAAACAAUUUUUUGAGCUAUUUGGGAGGUGGAGUUCUGCAGCAACUCUCUCUUGGGCUGUGAAAAACAAUGAUACUAUUCGUAUGUCAACAGAAACCAUACCUGAUGAUCCUACUAGUGUCCUUUAG
rnacentral:rRNA from 1 species